rnacentral:lncRNA from 1 species
AAAACCUCAAAAAUGAAAAUUUAGUUAUAUAUUUAAUAUUAUAAUACAUAAAUAUAUUUAGUUAUAUAUUUAAAAUAUAAUGUAUUUAGUUAUAUAAUACAGAUAUGGCAAUUUUAAGAUCAAAUUUUAUAUGACUCAUUUAUUUUAUUUCUAGUAUUUAUUAUGCAUUUUCUGAACAGUAGUCUAGGAGUGUUUUAAACUGUUGAAAAUGCGAGAUGCAUCAUUCUUUUAAUUUUGCUAAAGGCUUGUUUUUUACCCUAAGAAUCCCUAGAGCACAUCUUCUAAGCUUUGUUUGGGUGAAGUUUUAUGUCCUCAGAGCAAAACAUUGCAAACAGAAUGAUACUAGUUGUGAUUAAUAUGCUGUGUAUGGGGACAUCUGAAAUCGUAGGAGUUCUCAGAUUUGCCUCUGCAAGAGCCAAAAUGCACUGACUAGGUGUUUUAAUAUGAGACCAGGUUUGUUUGUUUUUGACAAAGGACAGAGACAGCUUCCUGAGUACUAAACUUAUGUGCAGCAACUUGGAUCAUGAGAAUUAAUCUGGUAGCAUAUCUAAUGAUACAAGCUGUUCCAUGUAGGAGACAGGAGUCCCUCUUCUACAAAUAGCUUUUCAAAACUGGCUCUUAGACACAUGCAACUAACCCUACACAUUUAUGCCUAUAGCUACUAGCAAUCUGAAUUGCAACACAUGCAAGACUCUCCCAUACACAAAGAAUGCCUAUUACACGGUUCUGUUAUUUCACAUAGCCAGAACUUCAACACAGAAAAAUGUUACAUAUACGUUUCUGAGUUUGAGACAUGUGAGCAUGAUAAAUACAGAAUAUUCUGAAACUAUCAAAAAAAAAAACCAGCUCAGUGUCAAGUAUAAGGGUGAUGAGCUGUGCUCCUUCAAAGUAGAGCACUGAUACAGCAUUCCCUCCUGCCUAUAGGCCAUAGGGAUCUAUGCUGGUUUCCUGCUAAGGUACAGCUGGGUUUAUCUGAGAAUUCUUCUGUUCUUGAUUCAUGGCAUUAUUUUUUUUUGGUCUUGCUUUAUCAGUCUGAAUCUGUAUUGUGAUUGUUGGGCUGCAUCUAAUAGUGGUUACUCUCUCUGAAUGUAACCUGUGAUUUUGUUUUCUGGCUUGGCCUUGGACCCAAUUUGUCACCAUGGAUGUGUCUGUUGAAUCUGGCUGUUUUCCCUGGCUCUGUCCUGCUUGGGUGUUGUGAGGCUAGAUCUCGGCUAGUGAGGCCCUUGCCCUGCUGUCUGUGGUAUCAGGUUUAAGUCUGCAUUCCUUACGGAGCAGCUGAUUCUGCAGGCAGUUCUGCACUUGUACAACUGCUUUUAUUUCUUGCACGUUGAUCUCUAGACUUUCUCUAAGAGCCAUCUAAGGAGUCAGAGCUAUUGCUGAAGUCUAGCUAUGUGAUUUCAAGUACUUCUCUAUUACUCUCAAAAGCCUAUUACAUUCUUAAAUAAGGUAUGCAAGUAGAUAUCACUUGAUGUACUUUUAACAAAUGUUUGCUAGUUAUUAAUAUCCCUACUGAAAUUUCAAUGUUUACAAAUACUCAUUUAAGUACCUCAGGAAACUGUUAGUAAGCUGCUGUCUUUAUCCCAAGACGUUCCUGUCUUGCUCCAAUUUACAGGAGGGAGAGGAGGUUCUUUGAAAUAUGUAUACCCGGCGUGAGAUUAAGAAACAACGGUUCAGACGUUGGUCCGACCAGCUUAUAAAAUCCUUAAUAAGGGGGAUGGGGAAAGGGAGGACAGACACUAUUACGGAUUGGGGUGAUGGGGAAGGGAAGGCGGGCGAUAGAAAAGAUAGAAAUAAGCAAGAAUUGUGUAAAGCGGGGAUAGUCACCACCAGGAUCCGGCAGUAGUCCCGUUGCACGACGUUCCGAUGGUCCGGGGCAAAAGCGCAGGGGAAGAGCAGCAGCGGUGUGGCCGGUCUUAGGCAGCGAGAAGGUGCAGGCAGGUACCGAGUAGGUCCAGGAAGAAGUCUGGGCGGAAGCAGCAGGUCUCCGGUAGCAGGCCCUGGAGAGUCAGUCAGCAUGCAGGCCUUUUGUAGUGAGGGAUCUGAUGGCAGACACCUUCUCGGAGGGGUGAGCAGCAGCAGAGAGGCCAUCCUUAGGCAGCAAGCAGGCCUCUUCUAGAGUUAAUGAAUGCUUUCCAACUUCGUAUGCAAAGGGUAAAUUGCUCUGUGAUCCGGGUGGAGUACAAUGGAAGAGCCUUCCCAGCCUUUGUGUGUGAGUUUCCCUGCAAGGAGAUAAGAGCCCAUGGUGAGCUGAGAUAUACCCACAUCCCUUCCUGGCAGACAGUGAACUGGUCUGAAAAGAAACAAAGGUUCAUGGUAAGAGAGCAACAGCUUAAGAG